rnacentral:rRNA from 1 species
CGAGCACGCGCGUGUGGCAUAUCAAUAAGCGGAGGAAAAGAAACUAACAAGGAUUCCCUUAGUAACGGCGAGUGAAGCGGGAAGAGCUCAAAUUUGAAAUCUUCAAGGUUCUACCUUGACGAAUUGUAGUUUAUAGAAGUGUUUUCUGUUAGUGGAGUGGCAAAAGUUCUUUGGAAUAGGACAUCAUAGAGGGUGAGAAUCCCGUAUUUGGUCAUUCCUCCUAGCGUUGUGAUACACUUUCAACGAGUCGGAUUGUUUGGGAAUGCAGUCCAAAAUGGGUGGUAAAUUUCAUCUAAAGCUAAAUAUCGGCGAGAGACCGAUAGCGAACAAGUACCGUGAGGGAAAGAUGAAAAGAACUUUGAAAAGAGAGUUAAACAGUACGUGAAAUUGUCAAAAGGGAAGCGUUUGACACCAGUGUUGUUUUUCUCGAAAAUCAAUUACGAAUGUUUUAUUUUUGAGGAGUUAUGACUUCAUCGGCUUGCUCCUUUCUUUAUGAAACUUUCUUAAUGCACUUUUCGGUUAACAAGUCAACAUCAAUUUCUUUUGUUGUAAAAGGGUAUGAGGAAGGUGGCUUUCUUUUCGGAGAAAGUGUUUAUAGCCUUGUGCCUCUGCAAUCGGAGAGAUUGAGGUCUGCAGCGUAGAUCCUUCGGGGUUAGAUACGUUUGUGCUAAGUUAUAGCUUUUCAUAGACAACUUGUUGACUAUGUUUAGUCUUGUAGCUUACUCGCUGACGCUAUUUUACCUACGCUUAGGAUGUUGAACUCUAUCACACACAG